UCAGACACGUCAGAGUUUGAUCCUGGCUCAGGAUGAACGCUAGCUACAGGCUUAACACAUGCAAGUCGAGGGGCAGCAUGGGCUUAGCUUGCUAAGCCCGAUGGCGACCGGCGCACGGGUGAGUAACACGUAUCCAACCUUCCGGUAACUCGGGGAUAGGCUUUCGAAAGAAAGAUUAAUACCCGAUGUUGCGUAUCUUUCUCCUGAAAGAUACGCCAAAGGAUUCCGGUAACCGAUGGGGAUGCGUUCCAUUAGGCAGUUGGCGGGGUAACGGCCCACCAAACCAUCGAUGGAUAGGGGUUCUGAGAGGAAGGUCCCCCACAUUGGAACUGAGACACGGUCCAA
rnacentral:rRNA from 1 species